rnacentral:pre_miRNA from 1 species
AAAUUACUCCCUCCGUCCGAAAAUACUUGUCAUCAAAAUGAAUAAAAAGAGAUGUAUCUAGAACUAAAAUACAUCUAGAUACAUCCUCUUUUAUCUAUUUUGAUGACAAGUAUUUUCGGACGGAGGGAGUACUUG